rnacentral:rRNA from 1 species
GGGUUGUGAGGUUAAGCGACUAAGCGUACACGGUGGAUGCCCUGGCAGUCAGAGGCGAUGAAGGACGUGCUAAUCUGCGAAAAGCGACGGCGAGGUGAUAUGAACCUUUGACCCGUCGAUGUCCGAAUGGGGAAACCCAGUGUGUUUCGACACACUAUCGUUAACUGAAUACAUAGGUUAACGAGGCGAACCGGGGGAACUGAAACAUCUAAGUACCCCGAGGAAAAGAAAUCAACCGAGAUUCCCCCAGUAGCGGCGAGCGAACGGGGAGCAGCCCGGAGUCUGAAUCAGCUUGUGUGUUAGUGGAAGCGUCUGGAAAGUCGCACGGUACAGGGUGACAGUCCCGUACACGAAAAUGCACAGGUUGUGAACUCGAAGAGUAGGGCGGGACACGUGGUAUCCUGUCUGAAUAUGGGGGGACCAUCCUCCAAGGCUAAAUACUCCUGACUGACCGAUAGUGAACCAGUACCGUGAGGGAAAGGCGAAAAGAACCCCGGCGAGGGGAGUGAAAAAGAACCUGAAACCGUGUACGUACAAGCAGUGGGAGCACCUUCGUGGUGUGACUGCGUACCUUUUGUAUAAUGGGUCAGCGACUUAUAUUCUGUAGCAAGGUUAACCGUAUAGGGGAGCCGCAGGGAAACCGAGUCUUAACUGGGCGUUAAGUUGCAGGGUAUAGACCCGAAACCCGGUGAUCUAGCCAUGGGCAGGUUGAAGGUUGGGUAACACUAACUGGAGGACCGAACCGACUAAUGUUGAAAAAUUAGCGGAUGACCUGUGGCUGGGGGUGAAAGGCCAAUCAAACCGGGAGAUAGCUGGUUCUCCCCGAAAGCUAUUUAGGUAGCGCCUCGUGAACUCAUCUUCGGGGGUAGAGCACUGUUUCGGCUAGGGGGCCAUCCCGGCUUACCAACCCGAUGCAAACUACGAAUACCGAAGAAUGUUAUCACGGGAGACACACGGCGGGUGCUAACGUCCGUCGUGAAGAGGGAAACAACCCAGACCGCCAGCUAAGGUCCCAAAGUCAUGGUUAAGUGGGAAACGAUGUGGGAAGGCACAGACAGCCAGGAUGUUGGCUUAGAAGCAGCCAUCAUUUAAAGAAAGCGUAAUAGCUCACUGGUCGAGUCGGCCUGCGCGGAAGAUGUAACGGGGCUAAACCAUGCACCGAAGCUGCGGCAGCGACACUAUGUGUUGUUGGGUAGGGGAGCGUUCUGUAAGCCGUUGAAGGUGUGCUGUGAGGCAUGCUGGAGGUAUCAGAAGUGCGAAUGCUGACAUAAGUAACGAUAAAGCGGGUGAAAAGCCCGCUCGCCGGAAGACCAAGGGUUCCUGUCCAACGUUAAUCGGGGCAGGGUGAGUCGACCCCUAAGGCGAGGCCGAAAGGCGUAGUCGAUGGGAAACAGGUUAAUAUUCCUGUACUUGGUGUUACUGCGAAGGGGGGACGGAGAAGGCUAUGUCAGCCGGGCGACGGUUGUCCCGGUUUAAGCGUGUAGGUGUGUGUUCCAGGCAAAUCCGGUUCACUUUAACACUGAGGCGUGAUGACGAGGCACUACGGUGCUGAAGUGAUAAAUGCCCUGCUUCCAGGAAAAGCCUCUAAGCAUCAGGUAACACGAAAUCGUACCCCAAACCGACACAGGUGGUCAGGUAGAGAAUACCAAGGCGCUUGAGAGAACUCGGGUGAAGGAACUAGGCAAAAUGGUGCCGUAACUUCGGGAGAAGGCACGCUGAUAUGUAGGUGAAGUCCCUGCGGACGGAGCUGAAAUCAGUCGAAGAUACCAGCUGGCUGCAACUGUUUAUUAAAAACACAGCACUGUGCAAACACGAAAGUGGACGUAUACGGUGUGACGCCUGCCCGGUGCCGGAAGGUUAAUUGAUGGGGUUAGCGGCAACGCGAAGCUCUUGAUCGAAGCCCCGGUAAACGGCGGCCGUAACUAUAACGGUCCUAAGGUAGCGAAAUUCCUUGUCGGGUAAGUUCCGACCUGCACGAAUGGCGUAAUGAUGGCCAGGCUGUCUCCACCCGAGACUCAGUGAAAUUGAACUCGCUGUGAAGAUGCAGUGUACCCGCGGCAAGACGGAAAGACCCCGUGAACCUUUACUAUAGCUUGACACUGAACACUGGUCCUUGAUGUGUAGGAUAGGUGGGAGGCUUUGAAGCGUGGACGCCAGUCUGCGUGGAGCCGUCCUUGAAAUACCACCCUUUAAUGGCUGGUGUUCUAACGUGGACCCGUAAUCCGGGUUGCGGACAGUGUCUGGUGGGUAGUUUGACUGGGGCGGUCUCCUCCCAAAGAGUAACGGAGGAGCACGAAGGUUAGCUAAUCCUGGUCGGACAUCAGGAGGUUAGUGCAAUGGCAUAAGCUAGCUUGACUGCGAGAGUGACGGCUCGAGCAGGUGCGAAAGCAGGUCAUAGUGAUCCGGUGGUUCUGAAUGGAAGGGCCAUCGCUCAACGGAUAAAAGGUACUCCGGGGAUAACAGGCUGAUACCGCCCAAGAGUUCAUAUCGACGGCGGUGUUUGGCACCUCGAUGUCGGCUCAUCACAUCCUGGGGCUGAAGUAGGUCCCAAGGGUAUGGCUGUUCGCCAUUUAAAGUGGUACGCGAGCUGGGUUUAGAACGUCGUGAGACAGUUCGGUCCCUAUCUGCCGUGGGCGCUGGAGAAUUGAGGGGGGCUGCUCCUAGUACGAGAGGACCGGAGUGGACGCAUCACUGGUGUUCGGGUUGUCAUGCCAAUGGCACUGCCCGGUAGCUAAAUGCGGAAGAGAUAAGUGCUGAAAGCAUCUAAGCACGAAACUUGCCCCGAGAUGAGUUCUCCCUGAGACUUUAAGUCUCCUGAAGGAACGUUGAAGACGACGACGUUGAUAGGCCGGGUGUGUAAGCGCAGCGAUGCGUUGAGCUAACCGGUACUAAUGAACCGUGAGGCUUAACCUUACAACGCCGAAGCUGUU